GCUCCGGUAGCUCAGUGGAUUAGAGCAACGGGCUUCUAUCCCGCAGGUCGGGGGUUCGAAUCCCUCCCGGAGUACCA
rnacentral:tRNA from 1 species